UUGAACGCUGGCGGCAUGCUUUACACAUGCAAGUCGAACGGUAACAGGUUAAGCUGACGAGUGGCGAACGGGUGAGUAAUGCAUCGGAACGUGCCCGAUCGUGGGGGAUAACGCAGCGAAAGCUGCGCUAAUACCGCAUACGAUCUACGGAUGAAAGCGGGGGACUCAGCAAUGGGCCUCGCGCGAAUGGAGCGGCCGAUAUCAGAUUAGCUAGUUGGUGGGGUAAAGGCUCACCAAGGCGACGAUCUGUAGCUGGUCUGAGAGGACGACCAGCCACACUGGAACUGAGACACGGUCCAGACUCCUACGGGAGGCAGCAGUGGGGAAUUUUGGACAAUGGGCGCAAGCCUGAUCCAGCAAUGCCGCGUGCAGGAUGAAGGCCUUCGGGUUGUAAACUGCUUUUGUACGGAACGAAAAGACUCCUUCUAAUAAAGGGGGUUCAUGACGGUACCGUAAGAAUAAGCACCGGCUAACUACGU
rnacentral:rRNA from 1 species